rfam:Helianthus annuus linkage group 6, whole genome shotgun sequence.
AGCCAAUGAUGAUUAGUACUAUAUUUGCGUAAUGUAUGAAAAAUUAUGAUUACGUUAAUUCUACUGCCUUCCUUCUGAGGCU